rnacentral:rRNA from 1 species
ACGAAAGCGUGGGGAGCGAACAGGAUUAGAUACCCUGGUAGUCCGCACGGUAAACGAUGGAUGCCCGCUGUUGGUCUGAAUAGGUCAGCGGCCAAGCGAAAGCAUUAAGCAUCCCACCUGGGGAGUACGCCGGCAACGGUGAAACUCAAAGGAAUUGACGGGGGCCCGCACAAGCGGAGGAACAUGUGGUUUAAUUCGAUGAUACGCGAGGAACCUUACCCGGGCUUGAAUUGCAGAGGAAGGAUUUGGAGACAAUGACGCCCUUCGGGGCCUCUGUGAAGGUG